GGCAGGACUGGGAAAUUUGGACCCGCCGGCCACCGCCGGCAGGUUACUGGUGGAAUGCCGCCGCAGGAAACCUGGCGCGAAGCUGGAGCUGGGGGAGGUCACCGAGGUCCCCACGGCCUUCUUGUUCAGCAUGCUGCUGAGGGGACAACACUUUUACAGCAUAUAUCAGAAAAACUGGUUUCAUCAGCUUAGGAAGCUGCAUAAAAAAAAAAACCUGCAGGAGGGUGUGAAUUCACUUUGGCUCCAAGAAAAUUGUUCUUCAUUAAUAUUUCACUCAGACCCAAGGACUCCCAGUUUAGUAGAGAGCUGCUUUAGCUCCAGUCCAGCAGAAUUUCACAUGGAUAUGGCCAACUAAUGUGAACUGGCUGCAAACAAGUAUAGGCAUUAAUGAGUAGCAUAGACCAACAGAGAGAGAUGAGCUUGGUAGCAUAUUCACAACAUAUGGAAGAAUGCAUCAGCAAAGACUCUCAAAGCAGGUUCAUUAGUUAAAGCGUAUGCAAGUUUUGUGGCUAUUUUAAAAUUAGAGUUGAGUAAACUAGCACAUGCAUACAAAACUGCCGACAUCCUUGAAAGCACGUUGUGGAUAUGCUUAGGAUCGUCUUUGUUGAUCUGGAUCUAAAUGGAAUUCAAGGUCUAAUAAUAAAUAAAUAAGUUGAACACUGUU